rnacentral:lncRNA from 1 species
AGGUGCCUUUGUUUCCAGUUACCUGCUGAGUCUAGUCCCGUCCAGGGCACACAGUGGGCGCUUAGUAACUGUAGAAAGAAAUCGAACGAAAUCGGAAGGGGGAGAGGCAGAGGCCACAAUCAAGACACGGAAGAGACAGUCAGUUGAGGCAGCAGAGAGGGUGCCAAGCGGCCAGCGGAGGCGAAGGGCAGCUGUGAAGGGAUCUUGCCACCGGGCGGAGAAGCCGCGCUCCCCACCAGCGCGGCGUGAGGGCGCCAGGCCAGGCUGGAAAUGGAAUAAGACCGUAACCCAGCCUCAACCAGAGAUGAAGCCAACACUGUAGGAAUGGUGCAGAAACAAGUUGAAA